UUAAGUUAUUAAGGGCGCACGGUGGAUGCCUUGGCACUAGAAGCCGAUGAAGGACGUUACUAACGACGAUAUGCUUUGGGGAGCUGUAAGUAAGCUUUGAUCCAGAGAUUUCCGAAUGGGGAAACCCAGCAUGAGUUAUGUCAUGUUAUCGAUAUGUGAAUACAUAGCAUAUCAGAAGGCACACCCGGAGAACUGAAACAUCUUAGUACCCGGAGGAAGAGAAAGAAAAUUCGAUUCCCUUAGUAGCGGCGAGCGAAACGGGAAGAGCCCAAACCAACAAGCUUGCUUGUUGGGGUUGUAGGACACUCUAUACGGAGUUACAAAGGACGACAUUAGACGAAUCAUCUGGAAAGAUGAAUCAAAGAAGGUAAUAAUCCUGUAGUCGAAAAUGUUGUCUCUCUUGAGUGGAUCCUGAGUACGACGGAGCACGUGAAAUUCCGUCGGAAUCUGGGAGGACCAUCUCCUAAGGCUAAAUACUCUCUAGUGACCGAUAGUGAACCAGUACCGUGAGGGAAAGGUGAAAAGCACCCCGGAAGGAGAGUGAAAUAGAACCUGAAACCGUGUGCUUACAAGUAGUCAGAGCCCGUUAAUGGGUGAUGGCGUGCCUUUUGUAGAAUGAACCGGCGAGUUACGAUUUGAUGCAAGGUUAAGCAGUAAAUGUGGAGCCGUAGCGAAAGCGAGUCUGAAUAGGGCGUUUAGUAUUUGGUCGUAGACCCGAAACCAGGUGAUCUACCCUUGGUCAGGUUGAAGUUCAGGUAACACUGAAUGGAGGACCGAACCGACUUACGUUGAAAAGUGAGCGGAUGAACUGAGGGUAGCGGAGAAAUUCCAAUCGAACCUGGAGAUAGCUGGUUCUCUCCGAAAUAGCUUUAGGGCUAGCCUCAAGUGAUGAUUAUUGGAGGUAGAGCACUGUUUGGACGAGGGGCCCCUCUCGGGUUACCGAAUUCAGACAAACUCCGAAUGCCAAUUAAUUUAACUUGGGAGUCAGAACAUGGGUGAUAAGGUCCGUGUUCGAAAGGGAAACAGCCCAGACCACCAGCUAAGGUCCCAAAAUAUAUGUUAAGUGGAAAAGGAUGUGGCGUUGCCCAGACAACUAGGAUGUUGGCUUAGAAGCAGCCAUCAUUUAAAGAGUGCGUAAUAGCUCACUAGUCGAGUGACACUGCGCCGAAAAUGUACCGGGGCUAAACAUAUUACCGAAGCUGUGGAUUGUCCUUUGGACAAUGGUAGGAGAGCGUUCUAAGGGCGUUGAAGCAUGAUCGUAAGGACAUGUGGAGCGCUUAGAAGUGAGAAUGCCGGUGUGAGUAGCGAAAGACGGGUGAGAAUCCCGUCCACCGAUUGACUAAGGUUUCCAGAGGAAGGCUCGUCCGCUCUGGGUUAGUCGGGUCCUAAGCUGAGGCCGACAGGCGUAGGCGAUGGAUAACAGGUUGAUAUUCCUGUACCACCUAUAAUCGUUUUAAUCGAUGGGGGGACGCAGUAGGAUAGGCGAAGCGUGCGAUUGGAUUGCACGUCUAAGCAGUAAGGCUGAGUAUUAGGCAAAUCCGGUACUCGUUAAGGCUGAGCUGUGAUGGGGAGAAGACAUUGUGUCUUCGAGUCGUUGAUUUCACACUGCCGAGAAAAGCCUCUAGAUAGAAAAUAGGUGCCCGUACCGCAAACCGACACAGGUAGUCAAGAUGAGAAUUCUAAGGUGAGCGAGCGAACUCUCGUUAAGGAACUCGGCAAAAUGACCCCGUAACUUCGGGAGAAGGGGUGCUCUUUAGGGUUAACGCCCAGAAGAGCCGCAGUGAAUAGGCCCAAGCGACUGUUUAUCAAAAACACAGGUCUCUGCUAAACCGUAAGGUGAUGUAUAGGGGCUGACGCCUGCCCGGUGCUGGAAGGUUAAGAGGAGUGGUUAGCUUCUGCGAAGCUACGAAUCGAAGCCCCAGUAAACGGCGGCCGUAACUAUAACGGUCCUAAGGUAGCGAAAUUCCUUGUCGGGUAAGUUCCGACCCGCACGAAAGGCGUAACGAUUUGGGCACUGUCUCAACGAGAGACUCGGUGAAAUCAUAGUACCUGUGAAGAUGCAGGUUACCCGCGACAGGACGGAAAGACCCCGUGGAGCUUUACUGUAGCCUGAUAUUGAAAUUCGGCACAGCUUGUACAGGAUAGGUAGGAGCCUUUGAAACGUGAGCGCUAGCUUACGUGGAGGCGCUGGUGGGAUACUACCCUAGCUGUGUUGGCUUUCUAACCCGCACCACUUAUCGUGGUGGGAGACAGUGUCAGGCGGGCAGUUUGACUGGGGCGGUCGCCUCCUAAAAGGUAACGGAGGCGCUCAAAGGUUCCCUCAGAAUGGUUGGAAAUCAUUCAUAGAGUGUAAAGGCAUAAGGGAGCUUGACUGCGAGACCUACAAGUCGAGCAGGGUCGAAAGACGGACUUAGUGAUCCGGUGGUUCCGCAUGGAAGGGCCAUCGCUCAACGGAUAAAAGCUACCCCGGGGAUAACAGGCUUAUCUCCCCCAAGAGUUCACAUCGACGGGGAGGUUUGGCACCUCGAUGUCGGCUCAUCGCAUCCUGGGGCUGUAGUCGGUCCCAAGGGUUGGGCUGUUCGCCCAUUAAAGCGGUACGCGAGCUGGGUUCAGAACGUCGUGAGACAGUUCGGUCCCUAUCCGUCGUGGGCGUAGGAAAUUUGAGAGGAGCUGUCCUUAGUACGAGAGGACCGGGAUGGACAUACCUCUGGUGUACCAGUUGUCGUGCCAACGGCAUAGCUGGGUAGCUAUGUGUGGACGGGAUAAGUGCUGAAAGCAUCUAAGCAUGAAGCCCCCCUCAAGAUGAGAUUUCCCAACUUCGGUUAUAAGAUCCCUCAAAGAUGAUGAGGUUAAUAGGUUCGAGGUGGAAGCAUGGUGACAUGUGGAG
rnacentral:rRNA from 1 species